CCUACGGGUGGCAGCAGUGGGGAAUAUUGCACAAUUGGCGCAAGCCUGAUGCAGCCAUGCCGCGUGUGUGAAGAAGGCCUUCGGGUUGUAAAGCACUUUCAGCGGGGAGGAAGGCGGUGAGGUUAAUAACCUCAUCGAUUGACGUUACCCGCAGAAGAAGCACCGGCUAACUCCGUGCCAGCAGCCGCGGUAAUACGGAGGGUGCAAGCGUUAAUCGGAAUUACUGGGCGUAAAGCGCACGCAGGCGGUCUGUCAAGUCGGAUGUGAAAUCCCCGGGCUCAACCUGGGAACUGCAUUCGAAACUGGCAGGCUAGAGUCUUGUAGAGGGGGGUAGAAUUCCAGGUGUAGCGGUGAAAUGCGUAGAGAUCUGGAGGAAUACCGGUGGCGAAGGCGGCCCCCUGGACAAAGACUGACGCUCAGGUGCGAAAGCGUGGGGAGCAAACAGGAUUAGAUACCCCUGUAGUC
rnacentral:rRNA from 1 species